rnacentral:rRNA from 1 species
CCUACGGGAGGCAGCAGUGGGGAAUAUUGGACAAUGGACGAAACUCUGACGCAGCAACGCCGCGUGAAUGAUGAAGGUCUUCGGAUUGUAAAGUUCUUUUCUAAGGGAAGAAGAAAGGGGCGGGACCUUAGUAAUAAGCCUCGGCUAACUACGUGCCAGGAGCCGCGGUAAUACGUAGGAGGCGAGCGUUAUCUGGAAUGACUGGGCGGAAAGGGGGCGUAGGUUGUUUGGCAAGUUCGUGACGUAAAUCCAAGGGUCAAACUUGGAAUUACUAUUGAUACUGGUGGACUUGAGUGCAGGAGGGGCAAGCGGAAUUCCAUGUGUAGCGGUGGAAUGCGUAGAUAUUAGGAGGAACACCAGAGGCGAAGGCGGGUUGCUGGACCGAAACUGACGCUGAGGCACGAAAGCGUGGGGAGCAAACAGGAUUAGAUACCCGGGUAGUC